rnacentral:rRNA from 1 species
AUUGAACGCUGGCGGCAUGCCUUACACAUGCAAGUCGAACGGCAGCGCGGGAGCAAUCCUGGCGGCGAGUGGCGAACGGGUGAGUAAUAUAUCGGAACGUGCCCAGUAGUGGGGGAUAGCCCGGCGAAAGCCGGAUUAAUACCGCAUACGACCUACGGGUGAAAGGGGGGGAUCGCAAGACCUCUCGCUAUUGGAGCGGCCGAUAUCAGAUUAGGUAGUUGGUGGGGUAAAGGCCUACCAAGCCUGCGAUCUGUAGUUGGUCUGAGAGGACGACCGGGCAAACUGGGACUGAGACACGGCCCAGACUCCUACGGGAGGCAGCAGUGGGGAAUUUUGGACAAUGGGCGCAAGCCUGAUCCAGCAAUGCCGCGUGCAGGAAGAAGGCCUUCGGGUUGUAAACUGCUUUUGUCAGGGAAGAAAUCCUCUAGGCUAAUACCUUGGGGGGAUGACGGUACCUGAAGAAUAAGCACCGGCUAACUACGUGCCAGCCGCCGCCGUAAGAC